GAUUGCUUGACAAAGGGACUAGGAACAAAGGACUGUAACUUGGCAUGUGACAAGAUGGGAAUGAUAGAUAUCUACCACCCAUCUUGAGGGGGAGUGUUGAACCGGUAUGGGCCCAAGCCCAUCUUAUGUAUCACUUAGGGCCCAAGCCCAUGAGGAGAAGCUGACCUAGAAGGGGCAUCCAGUCCUCCCGUUCCCAGUGAGAGCCGCCACACACACUCACACUCACGCUGCAGGUACUCCUCUCUCCAUGAGUCAACAUUGGGUCAUCUAUUUUGGAACGGAGGGAGUAUUUGGUCAUCCUUUCCUUCAGGCAAGGCGCCUCCAGAACGUUGUCUCCUCCAGGUAGCGCCUCAUCUACCUCCUUGCCCGAAGCAGCGCUGCCUCACCUCUACUUCCUUGCCUGAGUAGUGCCAUGUAGGAUGACUUGGAUGUCACACGUGUGAACAUCAAGCAUUUACUCAAGUCUGAUGAGCCUUUCAUUUUGGCAUCUCAAGCAACUCAAGUGUACUAUGUGCAAGAUGAUCUUGAUACAGAUUGGUGUUUUGUUAGAAGUUUUCCACAUCCACGAGACCUUUAUGAAAUGUUUGGAGUGGAAGAUGAUGUUUAUGACCAGCAUGAUGAACCUAUAGUACCAAUCCUUGAUCUAGAUGCCAAUGUAGAUCUCAGUGUUGAUGUUAGAAAUAUACCUCGUAGUAGGACAGAUAUAGAUGGAACACUCGUUCGUGCAAUUCAGCAACCAAAGAAAAAGAAUGGAAAAAGGAAGAGACGAGGACAAUGUUCAAGAACAAGAGGAAGAGAGGCUGGCAAGACUUAGAGCAAGAAACAGCGAGGAUUUUGAACGAUUUGGCCGCUUUAGAUUUUCAAAUAUAAAUGAAGAAAAUGGAGGCCCAGCUAGUCAGUGAAGACAAUGAGUUGGAUCAAGAAACAAAAGGGAAGAAGAGCAAAAAGCGCACUAGAAUACAAUGUCCAAUCCCCCUCAAUAUGAGGUGCUGCAAGAGACUUAGAGGGAAGCCGCCAUUUCCCAAAAGAAGAAGGCAACAGUGCAACAAGAUAAGGAUGUGACACUUCAUCGCAACAAGAUGGCAACAUCCCCGUGGCAAAAGCUACCUUUCUAUCAGUUGAUCGGAGAGAGGAGGUAGGUGGUCAGGAGCUUGGCUCUCAAUAUUGUAAGGUUGUCGUGAACUAUGUAAUAAAAAGGGAUGCUAUUCUUCCUUGUGGUGUUGGGAACAUGACAACCAUGGGGCAAGCUCAAGGGCAAUGUAUCACAUGGCCUUACAAGCAUUUGGAAGUGGACAAGUCAAUGGCAAAUGCAGCAAUGCGACCACAAGCAAGCUGAGGAGGUAAUAUACAUAUUUCUCUUGGCUGAAUAUUUACAUUGGCCGCUGAAAGAGAAUUUUUUUACCAUAGAAUGGCCAUUCUUUAUGUUCAACACUCCCUGCACAGUUCAUUAUUUACCAUAGAAUGGUAGCUUGCACAUGUCAAUUACUGAAAAUUGCUCAAGUUCUUGGAAAUUAGCAUCAUGUACAUGCCUGUGUUCAGUCAAAGUGUUUUACAUGGAAGAAUAUAUGAUUCAGUUUGCACCCAGCACCUAAACUUGUGAAAUGUAAAUUGGCAUUUAAAGUGCGCAUUUAUACUCCUUUUACAACUCAACUCAGGUUCCUCGAGUUGCCAUAUUUGCCCAUGGAGGACAUAAUCAUAUUAUUUGCCCGUGGUCUAUUUUGUAACUACUGUGCUGAAAUCUUUUAUGUCAUUCCUAGAGACUCUGUACAAAUGUUUAUCUCCGUGCAAAAAAAGGAAAGGUUCGAACAGAGCAUGUUUUGUCUAUUUAUACAGAAUUUUGCCUAUUUGUACUACUUACUAUGUAUAGUACAGAUUUUUGCCUAUUUGUACAUAGUUUUGACUAUUUGUUCAAUAUAGUACUGUAUAGAGUUUUGCCUA